UGGCGGACGGGUGAGUAACGCGUGGGUAACCUGCCUCAUACAGGGGGAUAACAGUUAGAAAUGACUGCUAAUACCGCAUAAGACCACAGUACCGCAUGGUACAGGGGUAAAAACUCCGGUGGUAUGAGAUGGACCCGCGUCUGAUUAGGUAGUUGGUGGGGUAACGGCCUACCAAGCCGACGAUCAGUAGCCGGACUGAGAGGUUGAACGGCCACAUUGGGACUGAGACACGGCCCAG
rnacentral:rRNA from 1 species